UCAGGGCAGUGUUGUGGUUACAACAAAGUCGCAUUAUUAUUCAUGCUGACUUAACAACCAGUUUUCCCAAUGUCCUUGUGACGGGUGGCACCGACGCAGGCCCUGGGAUCAGGAUUCUGGCGACGCCUGGCCUAUGAAAUAGGCAAUACCACUUUUGGGAAAUAUAUUACUCAGUAUCGGGUCGAUAGUAAACGCCCAUUCGUGGUGAUUCAUUUUCAACGAGUCAAAAUGCCCUCGAGUAGGCCAGUGGAUCUCUUGGCAUUUUAUAGCAGGUGCGACUUCCACUGGACAACGUUCCUUGCCAACACGAGGAAGAUCUGAGGAAACCAGCUGAAAACAUACAUAAGCCGG
rnacentral:sRNA from 1 species